rnacentral:ncRNA from 2 species
CCCGACGGCGCGGGGUGCCGGGGAAACGAACCGGCUGAGAGCACACCCGUCGAACCUGCCCUAGUUCGUACUAGCGAAGGAACGCCCAUGAGCGUGUAC